rnacentral:rRNA from 1 species
CCUACGGGUGGCAGCAGUGGGGGAUAUUGCACAAUGGGGGAAACCCUGAUGCAGCGACGCCGCGUGGGCGAAGAAGUAUUUCGGUAUGUAAAGCCCUAUCAGCAGGGAAGAAGAAAUUACGGUACCUGAGUAAGAAGCACCAGCUAAAUACGUGCCAGCAGCCGCGGUAAGACGGAGGGUGCAAGCGUUAUCCGGAUUUACGUGGUGUAAAGGGAGCGAAGGCGGCCCGGCAAGGCUGAUGUGAAAGCCCGCGGCCCACCCGCGGGACUGCAUUGGGAACUACCGGGCUGGAGGGCCGGAGAGGUAGGCGGAAUUCCUAGUGUAGCGGUGAAAUGCGUAGAUAUUAGGAGGAACACCAGUGGCGAAGGCGGCCUACUGGACGGUGACUGACGCUGAGGCUCGAAAGCGUGGGGAGCAAACAGGAUUAGAUACCCCUGUAGUC